AGCUUGCCAAUGAUGUCACAAAAUGUCUGAACAAAUGAGAUCACAGUGAUAUUAAGAUUUUUACUGAGGCAAGCU